AUUGAACGCUGGCGGCAGGCCUAACACAUGCAAGUCGAACGAGUGGCGGACGGGUGAGUCAUGUCUGGGAAACUGCCUGAUGGAGGGGGAUAACUACUGGAAACUGUAGCUAAUACCGCAUACCAUCGGAUGUGCCCAGAUGGGAUUAGCCAGUAGGUGGGGUAAAGGCUGACCUAGGCGACGAUCGCUAGCUGGUCUGAGAGGAUGACCAGCCCCGAUGUAACGGUGGAACGGUCCAAACUCCUACGGGAGGCAGCAGUGAGGCAUAUUGCACGAUGGGCGCACGCCUGAUGCAGCCAUGCCGCAUGUAUGAAGAAGGCCUUCGGGUUGUAAAGUACUUUCAGCGGGGAGGCGUUACCCGCAGAAGAAGCACCGGCUAACUCCGUGCCAGCAGCCGCGGUAAUAC
rnacentral:rRNA from 1 species